UACGGAGGAUGCAAGCGUUAUCCGGAUUCAUUGGGUUUAAAGGGUGCGUAGGUGGGAUAAUAAGUCAGGGGUGAAAGCCAGCAGCUUAACUGUUGAAUUGCCUUUGAUACUGUUAUUCUUGAAUAUGUUUGAAGUGGGCGGAAUGUGACAUGUAGCGGUGAAAUGCGUAGAUAUGUCACAGAACACCGAUUGCGAAGGCAGCUCACUAAGCCAUUAUUGACACUGAUGCACGAAAGCGUGGGGAUCAAACAGGAUUAGAUACCCUGGUAGUCCACGCCGUAAACUAUGAUAACUCGACGUUGGCAAUAUACUGUUCAGCGUCCAAGCGAAAGCGUUAAGUUAUCCACCUGGGAAGUACGAUCGCAAGGUUGAA
rnacentral:rRNA from 1 species